GACGAACGCUGGCGGCGUGCUUAACACAUGCAAGUCGAGCGGUAAGGCCCUUUCGGGGGUACACGAGCGGCGAACGGGUGAGUAACACGUGGGUGACCUGCCCUCAGCUCUGGGAUAAGCCUGGGAAACUGGGUCUAAUACUGGAUAUGACUCCACGGUGCAUGUCGUGGGGUGGAAAGCCUUGUGCGGCUGAGGAUGGGCCCGCGGCCUAUCAGCUUGUU
rnacentral:rRNA from 1 species